UCCGAUAUGGUGUAACGGCUAACAUUGCCGCCUUUCAUAAAACGGGUCUAUUAUAAACUACAAUCGCGGCAGCUCGGGGUUCGAUUCCCCGUAUCGGAA